AUUUGGUCUAUCAUGUAGCCCAAAUCUGCUGUUUCCUUAAUGAUCUUCUGUGUGAAAAUUCCUUCCGUUGUUAAAGUGGAUACUGAUGUCUGCUAUUAUUGUAUUGUUGUUCAUUUAUAUCUCCUCAUCUGUCAAUGUUUUCUUUAUAUAUUUAAGUGCUCUAGUAUUGGGUACUAUAUAUUUCUAUGUAUUAUAUCUUCUUGAUGAUUUUAUCUUUGUAUAAUGAUCUUAUUUGUCUCUUUUAUAGGUUUUAAGUCUCUUUUGUUUAAUACAAGUAUAUGUUGAGAGCCACAGCCAAAGGGGCCCCAGCAAACUUCCAGCUGCCAGCAAACUUCCAGCUGCUGGCUGAUGAUUGGCUCACAGCGGCCCCAGCAACAUCUAGCUGAUUGGCUCCUCUGCGGUGAUGCUCAUUGGGCUGUUUCCCUGCCCUUUCAGACCACGGAGCUGCUCAUUGGGGGACUUUUUUGGCUCCGCCCACGUGACCCAGCCAAUCGGCCUCAAGAGCAGGAGGAUUGUGGGAGGUGGAGAAGAAGCUUGUGUGGGAGAGAGAGGCUUGUGGAAAGCCGGUGGUGGCAGUUGAGGCUCUGAAGGUUUUUCCUGAGAGGCUGUUUUGUUUGGCGUGUGUGGUUCUAAAAAUAAAGUUAGU
rnacentral:lncRNA from 1 species